CCUUAAAAUCACGCCGUUGGUGCUCGCGGUGUGGUUCACAUACCGCAGUUCAACGGGAAGCAGGGAGGUUUCACCAAACAUGGUGCGCCCAGCCUGCGCUGCCCCCGCAACGGUCAGCGGACGAAUCAUUCGAUUCCCUCUCCAUUCACAAGCCACUGGGCGCCUUGAACAAGCGCCUGGGAAGGCAUUGGAGGGCGUUCCGCCAGCCCGGAUACCGGCCAACACGGUGGUUGCGUG
rnacentral:ncRNA from 2 species